CAAGACGUAGCUAUAACACAAAGCAUUCAGCUUACACCUGAAAGAUGCCUACCACACAGGCCGUCUUGA
rnacentral:tRNA from 1 species